AAAUCCAGCGAUUCUCCUUUAUUUUCAUCCCCGCCUUUGGUUGCGCCGUCGUCAUCUGUGGCGGAGACGUGGCCAACAAUAUCCUCGCCGGAAAACUCUCCUGCGGCGGCGCAACCGGUGGUGCCACACCAGCCCAGCAGGUGCUUUACGUGCAGGAAGAAGGUGGGGUUAAUGGGUUUCAGGUGUAGGUGUGGGACCACCUUCUGUGGUAGCCACCGGUACCCGGAACAACAUGGAUGUACCUUUGAUUUCAAGGGCAUGGGGAAGGAGGCCAUUGCCAAGGCCAAUCCUGUUGUCAAAGCUGAGAAGUUGGAGAAGAUAUGAUCAGAGCCGUUGAUUUCGAUGACUUUUCUGGCUGAUGAACGGUUGAGAUUAUGCGGACUAUUGACGAGGAUGAGCAUGGCACACUUGUAAAUUUGAUGUGAAUAAUUUUUCUUUUUGUUUCUAUUUUCUCUGUUUUCUUAAUUUAUGUGGGAUUUAGUGAAAAAAAAGAAAAAAAGAAAAAUAAUGAUGUCAAUAGAUGCUAUUUUCAUGCGAGUCCCCUUUUGUCUGCCAUUAUUCUAAUUUAUAAUUUUUGAAAUAGUUUUAUUUUGGGGCAAUUGGCACAAAACGUGGGAUCUUUCAAGUUUAUUGUGAAAAACGUCUAUACCUUUCAUUUUAUGAUAUUUUUGCCCUUAUUUCAAUAUUUCUUUGUGUUAAAC
rnacentral:lncRNA from 1 species